GAUGAACGCUGACAGAAUGCUUAACACAUGCAAGUCAACUUGAACUUCGGUUUGGGUGGCGGACGGGUGAGUAACGCGUAAAGAACUUGCCUCACAGAUAGGGACAACAUUUGGAAACGAAUGCUAAUACCUGAUAUUAUGAUUUUAGGGCAUCCUAGAAUUAUGAAAGCUAUAUGCGCUGUGAGAGAGCUUCGCGUCCCAUUAGCUAGUUGGAGAGGUAACGGCUCACCAAGGCGAUGAUGGGUAGCCGGCCUGAGAGGGUGAUCGGCCACAAGGGGACUGAGACACGGCCCUUACUCCUACGGGAGGCAGCAGUGGGGAAUAUUGGACAAUGGACCAAGAGUCUGAUCCAGCAAUUCUGUGUGCACGAUGAAGUUUUUCGGAAUGUAAAGUGCUUUCAGUUGGGAAGAAAAAAAUGACGGUACCAACAGAAGAAGUGACGGCUAAAUACGUGCCAGCAGCCGCGGUAAUACGUAUGUCACAAGCGUUAUCCGGAUUUAUUGGGCGUAAAGCGCGUCUAGGUGGUUAUAUAAGUCUGAUGUGAAAAUGCAGGGCUCAACUCUGUAUUGCGUUGGAAACUGUGUAACUAGAGUACUGGAGAGGUAAGCGGAACUACAAGUGUAGAGGUGAAAUUCGUAGAUAUUUGUAGGAAUGCCGAUGGGGAAGCCAGCUUACUGGACAGAUACUGACGCUGAAGCGCGAAAGCGUGGGUAGCAAACAGG
rnacentral:rRNA from 1 species